ACAAUACAUGUGUGGCAGUGCUGUGGGGAAGAUGCCACGGGGAAAGCCUAAGAUACUGGUGCUUCCAGCGAGUGGGAAAGCGUAUCAGCUAAGAGCCAUGUCGUGGCUCUGGAUGUCCCUGCAAUGAGGCAUACUGAUAACAUCAACAUCUAUGAAGUCAUGGCCCAGCCCCAUGGAGCCAAACACAGACUGUUGACCAUCCCAGAGGCAGUGGCAUCCUUACUGUCUGCUGAAGAGAACACACACUUCAUGAAGACAGGAUUUUGUCCAUUUUGCUCCUCGCUGUUUCCCCAGAAUCUUGCUUGGGUCC